UUACCUCGACUCGGCUGCGAAGCCGAGGCUCUGGUGCUAUCAAAUCACAGUUCUAUCUGACCCCUUCAAAAGCCAUAUUUAUGUUUUUUUUGUUUCUCUCUUCCAUCAUUUCUUGGGGCUUCCUUUAGUUUCCCUUCCUCCAUUAAUUUAGCCGUGGCAGUCUGGAGAGACGAGAUCAAACACCUCAAUUUCCCCCAUUUUUGUCAAACAUACCCCAUGUUAAUCUCUUGCUGUCCCCUAUGUCAUCGUUAAUCACCCUUUACUCCCCCCUUCACUGCCUUCUGACAUUUACUAAGGGAUUUUGGUGAACCUCAUUUCGUCUAUUCCAUGGAUGAUUUAGUUUACGCGAUUAGAUCUGAGGGCUUCUCUUAUUUAUGGAGUUGAUCUCAACUAUUUCACCCCGAGUCUUUGUGGGUGUGCGUUAACUUCAUUUUUUUUCUCCCUUGCAUGUCCAGAUUUCAUAGUACUAAGCACUCUGGUUAUUUUAAUGUUUUUUGUUUUUGUUGGGGUUUGCCUAAAAUGGGUGAGUUUCAGUUGUCAAUGUGUCGAUCAUUCAUGUUUUGGAUUUUCUUUUGUUUUUAUUAACUGGGUCCUGGCUUAAUGGCAAGUCCUACCUAGAUUUUCUUAUAUUUGUAUGUUUUAUGCUGUUGAUUAGGAUCUGGUAAAUCUGUUUGGAGGUAUUACGAAUUAUGUGUGAGGUGAGUGAUGCUUAGGAUGCUGAAUCUGAUCCCUCUAAACUUGAUUUUGUUUCUAGUCAUUUGUUUAAUAUAUAUGUUCAUCAUCAUUUUUCAUCUGCAGUAUAUGCAUUUGAAGCGUAUCUGUUUAUUGUUCUUUAUAAAGUAUCCAGUCAUAACUCAUUUGGAUUAAAUAGCCACGGUUUUAUUAUUUAUUAUUAUUUGUUUUUCUAAUUUCAGAUAGCAUUUUUGUUUUUUUUUUUUUUUGGUUGAGUUGCAUUGUAUUGAAUGAGAAGUUUGUUAGAUGUAUUACUGUUUUUGUACUAAGUUUUUUAAGUUCGCUUGUUUUUCAACGUUUUAAUCUUCUACAUGCAAAUAGGAUUGUUUUCUUUUAAAUGAUCUAAUUUCUAAAUGACUCUCAUAUGUAACAACUGUGAUCUGAAAUUUUUGUUUUGCCUAUUUUAGUAUCUUGAUUAUUGAUCUCUAUGUUCGCAUUUUUCCCCUUUUCAUCAGAAAAUUGCACCUGCCCAAUGAUGGAGAAACUCAUUUCUGGAGUUGUUAAGUUGAUUCUUAUCACAAGCCUUUGCCCUCAACCACAACUCUCUUUCUCUCUCUCUCUCUCUCUCUCUCUCUCUCUCUCUUUCUUCAAACACAAACCCAUCCAAUCUAUCUGUCUUUUCCCAAUAUUUUGCCUUCUCUUUUGGUAAAUUAUUAUAGUGGCUGUGCUGUGUAGAGGUAGUGAUGAAAAUCAAUUUUGACUGAGGGCAUUUACACAUACUCUUUGAUCUUAAAGGUUCACUGAAUUGGUUUACUAAUUUUCUUUCCCAGUUUGCACGAUUUAACUUUAAAGUGACGAUUUUGUUUCAAGAAUGAUAUUAAAUAUUGAAACAUCUAAUUUUGAAGUGCAAGGAACUUGUGCAUAAAGUUAUUUUUUGUUCUCCAAAUCUUAUUUCGAGAAUUUUUUUUUUAAUUUAAUCAAUUUUGGCUAACCAUCAUGUGUUGACUUAGUGGGCAUAAAGGCCUGGGAGAAAUAAGAGAAAUGGUGGUCACCUAUCUCAGAUUUAGUAUCUUACGCGUUUCUUAUCAACCAAUGUAACAGAGUUGGGUGGUGUUUUGGUGAAAUUAGUCGAGAUGCAUUUGAGUUGGCUUGGACACUCGUUGAUAUAAUUUUUUUUUUAAUCCAUUCUGGUUUAUAUGCAUUUAAAUAUUUUGUUUUGGCUUAGAGCAUUAUAAUAAUUUUUUUUUUUUGAAAUCAGCUGUUAAAUAUUUUUAUAUAGACAUAUAAGUGUUUGACCACCAUUUUUCCAAUUCCAAUACCAGAUUUUUAUAUAUAGGGUUGUCCAUUCUUUUGAAUGCUUGUAGCUUCAUUUAGUUGGUUUUUCUUAGGUCGUUGCAGCAAGGUGGGAGUGUCACAUAGGCUGGUUCUAUAUGGCCAAUUUAAAGAGGCUGAUAUUCAAUAUAGAGCUUUUGGGUUCUAAAGUUAUGGUAGCACCUCGAACCGUUCACGCCUGACAUAAAUUUAAUGAUAAGGACCUAAAAGCAUUCUUUCCCCAAGUACAUGGAUCGAAACAGCGAUGUGCUGAUUGUAUGGUAUUUGGACUUUUUUGUAUGAUGAAAUUGACUUUGCUUUAAAAGUUGCAUCUGCCCGAUGAUGGAAUUCACUGAUUAGAGCAGAUACCAAUGAUCUUCAUUAUAAGCCUUUGCCAUUAACCAACUCACACAUAAUCUGUCUACGUAGUGUUUGCUUGGUGCUCUCUGUGAUGGUAAUUGCAUCUGCCUAAAUGGGAAUGUUUGAGUUGUAUAGUUGUAUAGUGCCCAUUUGAUAACCGAGGUACGACUCAAUGUCCUAAUUCUGCACAUUAUUCCCUUACGAGCCCUUGCACGCUUCUUCUUGUUGUCUUUUCUCAAGCCUUAGAUGCUCGAUUGUGGCCAUGAGUUCUUCGGUAUCUUAAAGUGUAAAGCUUCAUUGUUUCUUGCAUCUGCCCAAAUGGAAUGCGUUAAUUGUAUAGCGCCCAUUUGAUAACUGAGGAAACCAAGACAACACUCCAACCUCUGUGAAAAGAAAACUUAUUCAGAACUUUUCUCAUUUUUAGAGAAUCGAAGAUUGGCUUUCAGACUAGAAGGAAGAUGUUAAGUUCAUAGAUUUUCUUGGGUCUGAACAGCCGAAACAUGAUGUCUGAGUUCAUAGAUUUGAUUUGAUUCAAGAACAAUUGUUCUUCUUGUUAAUUGUUAAUUAGGGGUGUACCUGGGUUGGGUUGAACUCGGCGUGGGUGUCCGUAGAGAGGUGUACCACUCUAGCAAACUUAUUAAUACGAAAA